UAGGGAAUCUUCGGCAAUGGGGGCAACCCUGACCGAGCAACGCCGCGUGAGUGAAGAAGGUUUUCGGAUCGUAAAGCUCUGUUGUAAGUCAAGAACGAGUGUGAGAGUGGAAAGUUCACACUGUGACGGUAGCUUACCAAAAAGGGACGGCUAACUACGUGCCAGCAGCCGCGGUAAUACGUAGGUCCCGAGCGUUGUCCGGAUUUAUUGGGCGUAAAGCGAGCGCAGGCGGUUUGAUAAGUCUGAAGUUAAAGGCUGUGGCUCAACCAUAAUUCGCUUUGGAAACUGUCAAACUUGAGUGCAGAAGGGGAGAGUGGAAUUCCAUGUGUAGCGGUGAAAUGCGUAGAUAUAUGGAGGAACACCGGUGGCGAAAGCGGCUCUCUGGUCUGUAACUGACGCUGAGGCUCGAAAGCGUGGGGAGCGAACAGGAUUAGAUACCCUGGUAGUCCACGCCGUAAACGAUGAGUGCUAGGUGUUGGAUCCUUUCCGGGAUUCAGUGCCGCAGCUAACGCAUUAAGCACUCCGCCUGGGGAGUACGACCGCAAGGUUG
rnacentral:rRNA from 1 species